rnacentral:rRNA from 1 species
UACGUAGGGGGCAAGCGUUGUCCGGAUUUAUUGGGCGUAAAGAGCGUGUAGGCGGCCAUGCAGGUCAGCUGUGAAAACUCGAGGCUCAACCUCGAGACGUCGGUUGAAACCGCUUGGCUAGAGUCCGGAAGAGGAGAGUGGAAUUCCCGGUGUAGCGGUGAAAUGCGCAGAUAUCAGGAGGAACACCAAUAGCGAAGGCAGCUCGCUGGGACGGUAUUGACGCUAAGGCGCGAAAGCGUGGGGAGCAAACAGG